GCGGGUAUCGUAUAAUGGUAAUUACCUCAGUUUUUUUUCUGACUGAUGAUGUGGGUUCGAUUCCCACCACCCGCU
rnacentral:tRNA from 2 species